rnacentral:lncRNA from 1 species
GCAGAGCCUCGGGAGGGCCGUGGGACUUCCCAGAGGAGACUCCGAGGCCUGACGAAGGUCAUACGGCUCGGUCCCCAGUCGGACCCUUAGAAGACAUUUCGCCCCCAUGUGGCCUAAUGGCGGGGAUGUGAGGGAUCGAACUCGCCAUUGUGCUUGUGAGGCAGGUGGCAGAACCACUGAGCUAAAUCCCCAGCCUUGCACAAUCUUUAUACAAACUCACUUUCUUCAGAGAACUUCAGCUUCAUACUGGCAAGAGUAAGAAACUAUCACGAAUGGCUUAACUUUAUUAAAAUUCACCUGUGUGGGCAGAAAUUGGACUUCCCUCCCUAAGCAUGAAGAGGUGGGUGGAAUAUGAGAGUAACAUUGGAAAGAAUGAAGACAGACUAGACAUUGGGAGAUAAACAAUGAUGUUUGAUACAGAUGACAGUAUAGUAAAUGUAUCAGUCAAGAUAAGCUAGGUUCAGCUAUGGUAACAAGUGAUUCCCAAGGUGGC